GCCGGGUGUGGUGGUGUGUGCCUGUAGUCUCAGCUAUUCGGGAGGCUGAGGCUGGAGGAUCUCUUGAGUCCAGGAGUUCUGGGCUGUAGUGUGCUAUGCCGAUAGGGUGUCUGCACUAAGUUUGGCAUCAAUAUGGUGACCUUCCAGGAACAGGGGACCACCAGGUUGCCUAAGGAGGGGUGAACCGGCUCAGGUCGGAAAUGGAGCCGGUCAAAACUCCCGUGCUGAUCAGAAGUGGGAUCGCACCUUUGAAUAGCCACUGCACUCCAGCCUGGGCAACAUAUUGAGACCCUGUCUCUA
rnacentral:SRP_RNA from 1 species